rnacentral:rRNA from 1 species
AAACCAACAGGGAUUGCCUCAGUAACGGCGAGUGAAGCGGCAAAAGCUCAAAUUUGAAAUCCCCCCGGGGAGUUGUAAUUUGAAGAUUGCGUCUUGGAGGCGACCGUGUCUAUGUUCCUUGGAACAGGACGUCACAGAGGGUGAGAAUCCCGUGCGGCACGGCCCCCGGCUCCUUAUAAGGCGCUCUCGACGAGUCGAGUUGUUUGGGAAUGCAGCUCAAAGUGGGUGGUAAAUUCCAUCUAAAGCUAAAUACAGGCGAGAGAGCGAUAGCGAACAAGUACAGUGAUGGAAAGAUGAAAAGCACUUUGAAAAGAGAGUGAAACAGCACGUGAAAUUGUUGAAAGGGAAGGGCAUGCCGUCAGAUUGUCAGUGUGGGUAAGAAGCGGGGUACAAAGACUGUGGAACGUGGCCCUCGGGUGUUAUAGCCGCAGUUCAUGCCCCGUCUCUUUCCGAGGCCUGCUUUGAGGACACCGACGUAAUGACGGUACGCCGC